AUUCCGCCAAGAUGUUCGAUCAGGUUAUGUAAAAUAGAUCAAAAUUAGAAUGAGCAAUUAGGUUAUUUUGGUUCAGUAGUUUUUCUUGGCAGAACUCAGCAAAGGAACCGAAUACUAUUUUAAGCUUUGGCAUGCCCCUUGGGGCCAUGUUGGUAGUCUCGUGUUUCAGAAACUCCAUCCAAACACAAGAAUUUGAACAAGCAGAUAAGAAUGUGGGCUUACGGUGCUGGCAAUGUGGAAGGUGUCUACAUACCCAGCGAAUUUGGAGCCUGCAAAGACAAUGACACAAAACUUGAUUAAGUAUGAAGAAUAAUAUGCCCUCUUAACGCGUACCAAUAGCAUUCUUUCAAAUCUAAAGCUGAACAGCAGAACUGCUAAAGAUUCACUGCAUAAAUGGACUUCUAAGUUUUAAUCACAGUAAGGCUACUAGCAACAAGGCCAUUGUCUAUCAGAUAAGGAGUAUAAUUCAAAUUUUAAUUCUUGGAACUGGCCUUUCCCCAAGUAUAAGUAUGACGUAUCUUUACUCAUAGCAUGCAGGUACAGAAGCCAAGGUCUUACUUGCUGAGUACAAGCCUGUCUAUUGCAUUCUGGUUUCAGACCACUAAGCUCGAGUCGAGUGUGAUGUAAUAUGAGUAGAAGUUUAUCUGAUGUCGAGGUUUUCAGGGGGGGAGAUCUGCAUCAUAUUUGGACUAAGAGCAGAGAUACAGCCCAUAAAAUCUGCGUCAAGUGCUGACUGGUUGCAUGCUUAUUGCAUAUGUUCAAGAUAAGUACUCAGAAAGAACUUAUAAUCACCA